rnacentral:lncRNA from 1 species
UUUGAUUAGAUAAUAACAAUUACUGUACUACAGCUGUCUCAGGAGAUAGGCCAUAUCAUUACUUGAUAUAGUUCUCAUGACUAUUUUCUAGCAGUUCUGGAGAAUUUGACUCAUUUUAAAUGUACCCUAUAUAUUCAUCCCUUUCAUUGUAAUCCACUGAUGUGAAAAGAGAUCAUUUUAAAGAUAAAAGCACUGGCAUAACAAGAAAUCACCCACAGACUCUGCAAUCAAGUGCCAAGGUAAUAAGGUUGUUCAAAGCCAUGUAUUUACAAAAGCUUCAGAGUUUCAUUGCCCCCAAAAACAAAAACUUUGCAAUUUUUUUUGUUGAUACCUGAUAAAUGUCCAAUUUAAGCAGUGCCAAGAGGGAUAAGCAAAAUAUGCUCAUUAACCACUCACUAUCCAGCACUUUUCCAUCACCUCCAUUGCAUGCAGAAGGAUGGAGUGGGAAAAAGCAAUAAUUGGGAAUAAUCCAACACGUUUCAGAAAUAGGAGCUACCUUUGACUUCCAAAGGUGAAGAUGUCUUCAGUAGUGAAACCCUGCUGAAGACAAAAAAAUUCUGGAGGUUGCAGGAAAGAAGAAUAUUCUUCAGAUCCAUAUGUCUUCCUGAAUCUUAAACUGGAAACCCAUUUUCUCCAUGACUGUGUUAGAGACAAUGAAUGGUUACCCAUGCGCUCGUCGCUUCCCGUCUCGACUACUGCAAUGCUCUCUAUAUAGGGCUGCCCUUGUGGACUAUAUAGAGGCUUCAACUGGUAC